AUCAAUAAGCGGAGGAAAAGAAAAUAACAAUGAUUCCCCUAGUAACGGCGAGUGAACAGGGAAAAGCUCAAAGUUGGAACCUCCUGGCCCUAGGCCUGGCGGAUUGUAAACUAAAGCUCUCGAGUAGUUCGGCUAGCCUGGUAAAAAAGUUCUCUGGAAAGGGACGACAUGGAGGGUGAAAUCCCCGUCUUUGGCCAGAGCAUAGUCCAACGUUUGCUUGGGAGUGAAGAGUCAGGUUGUUUGGUAUUGCAGCCUAAAGCUGGAGGUAAAUCUCUCCUAAAGCUAAAUAUUGACGAAAGACCGAUAGCGAACAAGUACCGUGAGGGAAAGAUGAAAAGCACUUUGAAAAGAGGGUCAAAAAGUACGUGAAAUUGCUGAAAGGGAACCGUAUGAAAUCAGCUUGUCUCUUUGGUAAUCAGCCUGGGCUUCGGCCUGGGUGCACUUGCCAGUGAGUACAGCCUGCGACAAUUCGGGGCGAAGGAAAAAAUCAGGGGGAACGUGGCCUCAGCUUCCGGCUGAGGUGUUAUAGCCCUUUGAAAAAUACUUUGCCCUGGAUUGAGGACUGCAGCGAGCCGUUUGGGAUAGGCUAGGGGCGCUUUGACUUGGCUGGGAGGAAAUCUCUAUCUCUGGUAGUGUUCUUCCAGUCGGGCUGAACCCGCCCUUUUUACUUUUAUCUCGCUUAGGUCGUAGGCAUAAUGAUUUAUAUGAC
rnacentral:rRNA from 1 species